AUCCCUCAGCAUACCUAGUACUUUUCCUCCUCCCCUCAAAUUCUUAUCCUUUACUCUUUUUUCCCCUCUGGAGCCUUGAACCAGAUUCUCAGGAUUCAAUCAUGGUCUUCUCCCAAACACCAUGACAAGUUAGAAGGGAACUUUGAUGAUUGCACUGAAAAUACAUGAUAUAGAAAAUAAAUGUUAUAGUUGAAUGCAGUUGACAAAUGGCAGUUUGGGGUAUGAGCAAUGAAUUCCAUAUUUUUCUAGGGGCUUCCUUUUACUUCAUUUUUAAGAUCCACUGAUCCUAAUAGAAACAAGUUAAAGCUAAAGCUAAUUAGAGAAAUAUUAAAGAAAAACCACAUUAAGCCCUUUCUACACUGGCAGCCAUCAAAUCUUACAUAGCUCAUGGUUAUUUGGACAGACCUUCAUACCACUGGAAACUUAGACUAACACCAAGAGCCCUUCUUCUCAGUAUUUAAUUAUAAACCUGGCAGAGUGAAGACUCCAUACUGAUUAAAAGAAAAUCAAUCAGUGCCUGUUAGCCAUAACAAAUCAAUAAAAACAAUUAGCUGAAGAAAUAAUAUUAACAGCCUACCCUUGUUAUCUAAGUUCCUGAAAAUUUUUAAGCUUCCUACAGCACACAUUAUUGUAUUGUUUC
rnacentral:lncRNA from 1 species